GACGAACGCUGUCGGCGUGCUUAACACAUGCAAGUCGAACGGAAAGGCCCUGCUUUUGUGGGGUGCUCGAGUGGCGAACGGGUGAGUAACACGUGAGUAACCUGCCCUUGACUUUGGGAUAACUUCAGGAAACUGGGGCUAAUACCGGAUAGGAGCUCCUGCUGCAUGGUGGGGGUUGGAAAGUUUCGGCGGUUGGGGAUGGACUCGCGGCUUAUCAGCUUGUUGGUGGGGUAGUGGCUUACCAAGGCUUUGACGGGUAGCCGGCCUGAGAGGGUGACCGGCCACAUUGGGACUGAGAUACGGCCCAGACUCCUACGGGAGGCAGCAGUGGGGAAUAUUGCACAAUGGGCGGAAGCCUGAUGCAGCAACGCCGCGUGCGGGAUGACGGCCUUCGGGUUGUAAACCGCUUUCGCCUGUGACGAAGCGUGAGUGACGGUAAUGGGUAAAGAAGCACCGGCUAACUACGUGCCAGCAGCCGCGGUGAUACGUAGGGUGCGAGCGUUGUCCGGAUUUAUUGGGCGUAAAGGGCUCGUAGGUGGUUGAUCGCGUCGGAAGUGUAAUCUUGGGGCUUAACCCUGAGCGUGCUUUCGAUACGGGUUGACUUGAGGAAGGUAGGGGAGAAUGGAAUUCCUGGUGGAGCGGUGGAAUGCGCAGAUAUCAGGAGGAACACCAGUGGCGAAGGCGGUUCUCUGGGCCUUUCCUGACGCAGAGGAGCGAAAGCGUGGGGAGCGAACAGGCUUAGAUACCCUGGUAGUCCACGCUGUAAACGGUGGGUACUAGGUGUGGGGUCCAUUCCACGGGUUCCGUGCCGUAGCUAACGCUUUAAGUACCCCGCCUGGGGAGUACGGCCGCAAGGCUAAAACUCAAAGGAAUUGACGGGGCCCCGCACAAGCGGCGGAGCAUGCGGAUUAAUUCGAUGCAACGCGUAGAACCUUACCUGGGUUUGACAUGGAUCGGGAGUGCUCAGAGAUGGGUGUGCCUCUUUUGGGGUCGGUUCACAGGUGGUGCAUGGCUGUCGUCAGCUCGUGUCGUGAGAUGUUGGGUUAAGUCCCGCAACGAGCGCAACCCUUGUUCACUGUUGCCAGCACGUUAUGGUGGGGACUCAGUGGAGACCGCCGGGGUCAACUCGGAGGAAGGUGGGGAUGACGUCAAGCCAUCAUGCCCCUUAUGUCCAGGGCUUCACGCAUGCUACAAUGGCUGGUACAGAGAGUGGCGAGCCUGUGAGGGUGAGCGAAUCUCGGAAAGCCGGUCUCAGUUCGGAUUGGGGUCUGCAACUCGACCUCAUGAAGUCGGAGUCGCUAGUAAUCGCAGAUCAGCAACGCUGCGGUGAAUACGUUCCCGGG
rnacentral:rRNA from 1 species